rnacentral:rRNA from 1 species
UACAGAGGGGGCGAGCGUUGUUCGGAAUUACUGGGCGUAAAGGGCGCGUAGGCGGCCAACUAAGUCAGACGUGAAAUCCCUCGGCUCAACCGGGGAACUGCGUCUGAUACUGGAUGGCUUGAAUUCGGGAGAGGGAUGCGGAAUUCCAGGUGUAGCGGUGAAAUGCGUAGAUAUCUGGAGGAACACCGGUGGCGAAAGCGCGCGACUGGACCUGAACUGACACUGAGGGACGAAAGCUAGGGGAGCGAAAGGG